CCUACGAGAGGCAGCAGUGAGGAAUAUUGGUCAACGGGCGGGAGCCUGAACCAGCCAAGCCGCGUGAGGGAAGAAGGUACAGCGUAUCGUAAACCUCUUUUGUCAGGGAACAAAGGCGGGGACUAGUCCCCGGCUGAGGGUACCUGAAGAAAAAGCAUCGGCUAACUCCGUGCCAGCAGCCGCGGUAAUACGGAGGAUGCGAGCGUUAGCCGGAUUUAUUGGGUUUAAAGGGUGCGCAGGCGGCCUGUUAAGUCAGCGGUAAAAGCCCGGGGCUCAACCCCGGCGAGCCGUUGAAACUGGCGGGCUGGAGUUGGAGAGAAGUACGCGGAAUGCGCGGUGUAGCGGUGAAAUGCUUAGAUAUCGCGCAGAACCCCGAUUGCGAAGGCAGCGUACCGGCUCCACACUGACGCUGAGGCACGAAAGCGUGGGUAUCGAACAGGAUUAGAUACCCCUGUAGUC
rnacentral:rRNA from 1 species